UGCAGCCACUGCUGCAGGGCAGCGGAAGUUUGAGCGCGGCGGCGGGCGGUGGUGUCGCUGUACCCCCUUGUGCAGCACCGCACCGCGCUACACCCCGCCACACCCGGUGAGCCGCCUGACGGCCUGCCCCGCCCCAGCGGCAGCAUGGACCUGGAGAGCAAGGUGAAAAAGAUGGGCUUGGGCCAUGAGCAAGGAUUUGGUGCCCCCUGCUUAAAAUGCAAGGAUAAGUGUGAAGGAUUUGAGCUUCAUUUCUGGAGAAAAAUAUGCCGCAACUGCAAAUGUGGCCAGGAAGAACAUGAUGUCCUCACGAGCAAUGAGGAAGAUCGGAAAGUGGGGAAACUCUUUGAAGAUACAAAGUACACAACCCUUAUUGCAAAGCUGAAGAACGAUGGCAUUCCCAUGUACAAACGCAAUGUAAUGAUACUGACUAACCCAGUGCCAGCUAAGAAGAACAUAUCCAUCAAUACUGUGACUUAUGAGUGGGCCCCUCCUGUUCAGAAUCAGACACUUGCUAGACAGUAUAUGCAGAUGCUACCAAAGGAGAAGCAGCCUGUUGCUGGCUCAGAAGGAGCGCAGUAUAGGAAGAAGCAGUUGGCUAAGCAGUUGCCUGCUCACGAUCAGGAUCCUUCAAAAUGCCACGAGCUCUCCCCCAGUGAAGUUAAGCAGAUGGAACAAUUUGUGAAGAAAUACAAAAAUGAGGCACUUGGCGUAGGAGAUGUUAAGCUCCCUGGUGAGGUGGAAACAAGAGCUGCUGACAAGAAUAAUUUGAACAAUGGUGACAGAGGCACCUCAGCUGCUGUAGGAGCGAUGGAGGACAAGUCCCCAGAUCAGAAGGCAUCUCAGUAUUCCUGCUAUUGCUGCAAACUGAUCAUGAAAGAAGGUGACCCAGCUGUCUAUGCAGAACGUGCUGGAUAUGACAAAUUGUGGCACCCAGCUUGUUUUGUCUGUUGCACCUGCAGUGAACUUCUGGUAGACAUGAUCUAUUUCUGGAAGAAUGGUAAUCUGUACUGUGGAAGACAUUAUUGUGAUAGUGAAAAACCCCGCUGUGCUGGAUGUGAUGAGCUAAUAUUUAGCAAUGAAUAUACUCAAGCAGAAGGUCAGAACUGGCAUCUGAAACACUUCUGCUGUUUUGAUUGUGAUUGUGUUUUGGCUGGGGAAAUCUAUGUAAUGGUGAACGACAAGCCAGUCUGCAAGCCCUGCUAUGUGAAGAACCAUGCUGCGGCUAGAAGUGUGCUUGGAACAGUCACUACCAGUUAAUUGUAAGGCAGGAACAUCUUGCAGCCAAGACAAAGGGAAUUAGAAAUGGGAACCUGAAAAACUACUGACUCUUUCACCACUGAAUUUGGAGGCGGGAAGGAAAGGUUGUUGUGUGGUGCUUAGCAUUCAGCAGGAUCUGCUCUGGUGGCACUUCAGUAUAAUGGCUUCUCUUCAUCCAUAGAACAACAGCAUUGUGAGAGGAAGGUGGGUUGAAUACCCUGCUGGACCUGCCAGUUUGCUUCGUGAGCAGCACACAGUGGUUGCCCCUUCACAGAGUCCGUGUAUUCAGGUGAUUGUAAUUCUAUAUGUGUCCCCUAUAUAAAACCGUAGAGUGCCUGCUUCUUGAAUGGUAUGUACAGUUCUGAUUUCUUAAUCUUAAGAAGGUAUGGGAGAUCUGGAAAUGCUAUCUAUAUGAUCCCAGCAGUAGGGAACAGCUUCUGUAUCAGGAAUAAGGACAGUUAAAUGGACAAGCAUAAUUCAGCUUUAGAACAGAGAAUAUUGGUGGAGAUUUUAUAAAAGUCCCUAAAGUCACCAGGGAUGGAGAGGAUGAAUGGGGAAAUGCCUCCCUGAGCUAUGAAAAUGCUACUGCAGCAAUAAGUUUACAGAGGUUUAGAAAGCAACUAGACAGAUCACUGGAAGAAAAGAGCAACACAAGAAAAGGCCACCAAGGGUUAUGGCAGACAAAGAUGCUGCCUACAGCUUUGGAAAUCACUCAGUCAUGGAAACAUGGAAAACAUGCUGGGCAAGUACUGUCUUACAUUUGCUUUGCCUCUACAUGCUUCCCUUGUCAUCCGCUUGGAGUCAGUGGCAGGAUACUAGGCUAGGCAGAUAUUUCAUCAAGCCCAACAAAGCAUGUCUUACGUUCUUACAUCCACUUCCUGGAAUGGACUGAAUAGGGCAUGUGCCUUCCAUAUAGCAACUGAAGAUCUGACAACAAAUGACCUAAGCUGUAUUUUAAACCACACUUUUUGGAAGGAAGCUGUACCGCAGAUUGGAUGAGCAGUCCUGCUUGGCAUCUUCUGUAGCACUCCUGUGUCCUUGUGCCACUCCUAUAGCUCCUCAGAACAGAGAAUCCAUAGUGGUCCCAGGCCACUGCUGCAGGUUGGGAGUGCUGCCAGUUUGAAGGGCAGAAAGACCUAUGUCAGAGAUGGUUCUGCCAUCUGAACACUUUGGACAUCACUGAUAUGCGACCAGAUGGGUGGCUGGAGCACAAGAUCAGGAAACUCUGCUAUCGAGUGCCAAAGGUAGAGUACAACAGAGAGACUGACUUGCAAUUGCAUAGCUAAGCAUUUAUUUUUAUUUUUAUUUUUAUUUUUAUUUUUAUUUUUAUUUAUAUUUAUAUUUUUGUUUUAUUUUUAUUUUUAUUUUUGUUUUUAUUUUUAUUUUUAGUUUCUUUUUAUUUUCAUUCUUGUUUUUGUUUUUGUUUUUGUCUUUGUCUUUAUUUUAUUUUUAUUUUCAUUUUUAUUUUUAUUUUCAAUUUUAUUGGAACUUUUUAAAUUCCCACUUACUCCAAGCUGAAAAAGAGAAAGGGGACAAAAAAUGUUGUUAGCAUUACAUUUAGCUUAACAAUCAUUUCAGAAAUAUCCCUAGUGUCAAAAUGAAGUAAGCAAAGUUGGACUACUUUAAAUAAUUCUCAGCAAGAGCCUGCAGUGAUGUCUUGGUAUGCUGAAGAAUUGAAUAUACAGAAAUAAGCCACCUCUUUGAAAGAACAUUUACUUACUAAUCCUAUGGAUUUUAGAUCUUUCUGAUAAAAGACUUCCAACAGCAUAUAUAGAAUAUUUAAAUAACAUGAAAAGAGAUGUGUGGGCACUUAAUAUCUUUAGAAACAAACCUUUUACAAAUAUUUGAGUGAUUGAGUGCUUCAAACAGUGAGAGAAACUGGGGAAAAUAUUACUUACAGCAUUUUAAUGCCAGAGCUAUCAAAAAGGAUAGCCAGUACCCCCUGAGUUCACAUGAAAUUCUCCUUACUGAGCUCUCAAUCAGAAAACAGAUUAUAGACCAAAUCAAACCAACACAUUCAACGGACAGCAAACCCCUAAGUUGGCAGAAGAAUUCAGAUGUUAGGCAUCUAUGAGUUACUGUAGGCAUAGACACCCAGUCUGGAUACAUUAAACCAGCAGAAAUAGUUACUGAACAGGAACAUCUAAUCAACAAAGCCAUUACUUCUUAACAACCCUUCAUUAUGAAAAACAAUCCUAAUUUUAGGCCUAAACUCAGUUCCAGUUAAUGCUAUACAGCCACCUCCCAAGAAAUGUUUGUUUUCCCUACAUUUAAUAAAAUGGAGAUCCAUGAAGAUAUUUAAUUGUUCUCCUGAACAAUUUCUUUGGUUCUAUUUCAGCCCAGUGUUGAAGAACUUAUUUCUGAAAAAGUCUUUCUCUCUUUGACUGACUCAUCAGCAAUCAGGUGUAGACAUGCAUAAUACUUCAGUAAAUUAUUUUCAAGCCUUUUUUUUUUCGCUUGUCAGUCAGU